CCUACGGGAGGCAGCAGUGAGGAAUAUUGGUCAAUGGGCGUAAGCCUGAACCAGCCAAGUCGCGUGAGGGAUGACGGCUCUAUGGAUUGUAAACCUCUUUUAUAAGGGAAUAAAGUGUGGCACGUGUGCCAUUUUGUAUGUACCUUAUGAAUAAGGAUCGGCUAACUCCGUGCCAGCAGCCGCGGUAAUACGGAGGAUCCGAGCGUUAUCCGGAUUUAUUGGGUUUAAAGGGAGCGUAGGCGGCCUGUUAAGUCAGUGGUGAAAGUCUGCGGCUCAACCUUAGAAUUGCCGUUGAUACUGGCAGGCUUGAGUAUGUUUGAGGCAGGCGGAAUUCGUGGUGUAGCGGUGAAAUGCUUAGAUAUCACGCAGAACUCCGAUUGCGAAGGCAGCUUACUAAGCCAUGACUGACGCUGAUGCGCGAAAGCGUGGGUAUCAAACAGGAUUAGAUACCCGUGUAGUC
rnacentral:rRNA from 1 species